GCGCGAGGCUUCCAGCAUACCAGAGUCCCUCCUCUGUGACCCUGAGCAUUCCUGAAGCGCUUGCCACAGUAGCCUUGAGAUGGUUUGAGGCCUUGCUCUGCUCUACCUUCGGAGCAAGGUUAUAGGAAUUUCAGGCACUA